rnacentral:rRNA from 1 species
AGAGUUUGAUCCUGGCUCAGGACGAACGCUGGCGGCGCGCCUUACGCAUGCAAGUCGAACGGACCUUCGGGUUAGUGGCGGACGGCUGAGUAACGCGUAGGUAACCUACCCAGUGGUGGGGAAUAACUCACCGAAAGGUGAGCUAAUACCGCAUAAGUUCCCGGUUUGAAAUGGCCGGGAGGAAAGCAUUUAUGCGCCACUGGAGGGGCCUGCGUCCUAUCAGGUAGUUGGUGGGGUAACGGCCUACCAAGCCGAUGACGGGUAGCUGGUCUGAGAGGACGAUCAGCCAGAAGGGGACUGAGACACGGCCCCUACUCCUACGGGAGGCAGCAGCGAGGAAUCUUGGGCAAUGGGCGAAAGCCUGACCCAGCGACGCCGCGUGAGGGAUGAAGACCUUCGGGUCGUAAACCUCUUUUGUGAGGGAAGAAGUUCUGACGGUA